rnacentral:rRNA from 1 species
UACGUAGGGUGCGAGCGUUGUCCGGAAUUAUUGGGCGUAAAGAGCUCGUAGGCGGUUUGUUGCGUCUACGUGAAAACCUGCAGCUUAACUGUGGGCUUGCGGUGGAUACGGGCAGACUAGAGGUAGGUAGGGGAGAAUGGAAUUCCCGGUGUAGCGGUGAAAUGCGUAGAGAUCAUGAGGAAGACCAGUGGCGAAGGCGGGUCUCUGAACAGUUCCUGACACUGAGGCACGAAGGCCAGGGGAGCAAACGGG